UACGGAGGGUGCGAGCGUUAUCCGGAAUUAUUGGGCGUAAAGCGUCCGCAGGUGGCACUUCAAGUCUGUCGUCAAAGACUGGGGCUUAACCCUGGAAAGGCGGUGGAAAUUGAAGCGCUAGAGUGCGGUAGGGGUAGAGGGAAUUCCCGGUGUAGCGGUGAAAUGCGUAGAGAUCGGGAAGAACAUCGGUGGCGAAAGCGCUCUACUGGACCGCAACUGACACUCAGGGACGAAAGCUAGGGGAGCGAAUGGG
rnacentral:rRNA from 1 species